CGUAUGGUAGAGCAGUUGGCAGCUCGUCGGGCUCAUAACCCGGAGGUCGUAGGUUCGAGUCCUACCCAUACAU
rnacentral:tRNA from 1 species